AAGUCUUAUAAAGCGCCUGAACAAGUGUUGAAUGUAAUUGUCAGGUUUUGGUUUAUAUCAGAAAUCAAAGCUAAUUAUAUUUAAAACUUGUAGACGAGGAGGAUAGUUAUCGAAUUAGUUCGGCGGAUGCUAUCCCGGAUGUGGCUCAUUCGUAGCUUAUUAAUUAAACCAUUAAGGUAACUUAAUGUCCAAAGUUAAUAAGAUAGCCAUCA
rnacentral:ncRNA from 2 species